rnacentral:rRNA from 1 species
GACGAACGCUGGCGGCGUGCUUAACACAUGCAAGUCGAACGGAAAGGCCCUGCUUUUGUGGGGUGCUCGAGUGGCGAACGGGUGAGUAACACGUGAGUAACCUGCCCUUGACUGUGUGAUAUCUUCAGGAAACUGCGGCUAAUACCGGAUAGGAGCUCCUGCUGCAUGGGGGGGGUUGGAAAGUUUCGGCGGUUGGGGAUGGACUCGCGGCUUAUCAGCUUGUUGGUGGGGUAGUGGCUUACCAAGGCUUUGACGGGUAGCCGGCCUGGGAGGGUGGCCGGCCACAUUGGGACUGCGAUACGGACCAGUCUCCUACGUGAGGCAACAGGGGGGAAUAUUGCACAGUGGGCGGAAGCCUGAUGCAGCAACGCCGCGUGCGGGAAGACGGCCUUCGGGUUGUAAACCGCUUUCGCCUGUGACGAAGCGUGAGUGACGGUAAUGGGUAAAGAAGCACCGGCUAACUACGUG